rnacentral:lncRNA from 1 species
GGACGCGAAGAAGACUUUCCGACGAGAAGCCAUGAGUUUGAUCUGAAGAAGGAAUCUGAUAUCAACAAGAAUUCUCCGGCAAGAUUUGGAGGGGAAUCAAAAGCUGGGAUGGAGGAAGAUUUUCCGACAAGAGGUGAUGUGAAAGUAGAGAGUGGAUUGGGAAGAGACUUACCGACGGGAACUCAUGAUCAGUUCUCACCAGAACUAUCUCGUCCCAAAGAGAGAGAUGAUUCUGAGGAAACCAAAGAUGAGUCGACACAUGAGACAAAACCAAGCACCUACACAGAGCAGUUAGCUUCAGCUACAUCAGCCAUAACUAACAAAGCUAUAGCCGCAAAGAACGUCGUUGCCUCAAAGCUAGGUUACACCGGAGAGAAUGGCGGCGGGCAAAGCGAGAGCCCUGUAAAAGAUGAAACUCCGAGAUCUGUUACUGCUUACGGGCAGAAAGUGGCGGGAACUGUUGCUGAGAAGUUGACUCCGGUUUACGAAAAAGUCAAAGAAACAGGAUCAACGGUGAUGACAAAGCUACCUCUCUCCGGAGGUGGAAGUGGAGUGAAGGAGACGCAACAAGGGGAAGAGAAAGGUGUGACGGCUAAAAAUUAUAUAUCAGAGAAGCUGAAACCUGGAGAAGAGGACAAAGCUUUAUCGGAAAUGAUAGCUGAGAAACUUCAUUUUGGAGGAGGAGGAGAGAAGAAGACAACGGCUACAAAGGAGGUGGAAGUGACGGUUGAGAAGAUACCUUCCGACCAGAUAGCGGAGGGGAAAGGACAUGGUGAGGCGGUUGCAGAGGAAGGAAAAGGUGGAGAAGGAAUGGUGGGGAAAGUUAAAGGAGCGGUCACUUCUUGGCUCGGUGGUAAACCGAAGUCGCCACGGUCCGUUGAAGAGUCUCCACAAUCACUUGGCACCACCGUUGGUAAAACUCCCUCGUCCUUGUGUUACACGUAAUGUUAAGAUUUUGAUGUGUGUAUUAUUUUUGUAAUUUUACUCAAAAUGUUUUGGUUGCUAUGGUAGGGACUAUGGGGUUUUCGGAUUCCGGUGGAAGUGAGUUGGGAGGCAGUGGCGGAGGUAAGGGAGUUCAAGAUUCUGGGAACUGAAGAUUUGGGGUUUUGCUUUUGAAUGUUUGUGUUUUUGUAUGAUGCCUCUGUUUGUGAACUUUGAUGUAUUUUAUCUUUGUGUGAAAAAGAGAUUGGGUUAAUAAAAUAUUUGCUUUUUUGGAUAAGAAACUCUUUUAGCGGCCCAUUAAUAAAGGUUACAAAUGCAAAAUCAUGUUAGCGUCAGAUAUUUAAUUAUUCGAAGAUGAUUGUGAUAGAUUUAAAAUUAUCCUAGUCAAAAAGAAAGAGUAGGUUGAGCAGAAACAGUGACAUCUGUUGUUUGUACCAUACAAAUUAGUUUAGAUUAUUGGUUAACAUGUUAAAUGGCUAUGCAUGUGACAUUUAGACCUUAUCGGAAUUAAUUUGUAGAAUUAUUAAUUAAGAUGUUGAUUAGUUCAAACAAAAAUUUUAUAUUAAAAAAUGUAAACGAAUAUUUUGUAUGUUCAGUGAAAGUAAAACAAAUUAAAUUAACAAGAAACUUAUAGAAGAAAAUUUUUACUAUUUAAGAGAAAGAAAAAAAUCUAUCAUUUAAUCUGAGUCCUAAAAACUGUUAUACUUAACAGUUAACGCAUGAUUUGAUGGAGGAGCCAUAGAUGCAAUUCAAUCAAACUGAAAUUUCUGCAAGAAUCUCAAACACGGAGAUCUCAAAGUUUGAAAGAAAAUUUAUUUCUUCGACUCAAAACAAACUUACGAAAUUUAGGUAGAACUUAUAUACAUUAUAUUGUAAUUUUUUGUAACAAAAUGUUUUUAUUAUUAUUAUAGAAUUUUACUGGUUAAAUUAAAAAUGAAUAGAAAAGGUGAAUUAAGAGGAGAGAGGAGGUAAACAUUUUCUUCUAUUUUUUCAUAUUUUCAGGAUAAAUUAUUGUAAAAGUUUACAAGAUUUCCAUUUGACUAGUGUAAAUGAGGAAUAUUCUCUAGUAAGAUCAUUAUUUCAUCUACUUCUUUUAUCUUCUACCAGUAGAGGAAUAAACAAUAUUUAGCUCCUUUGUAAAUACAAAUUAAUUUUCGUUCUUGACAUCAUUCAAUUUUAAUUUUACGUAUAAAAUAAAAGAUCAUACCUAUUAGAACGAUUAAGGAGAAAUACAAUUCGAAUGAGAAGGAUGUGCCGUUUGUUAUAAUAAACAGCCACACGACGUAAACGUAAAAUGACCACAUGAUGGGCCAAUAGACAUGGACCGACUACUAAUAAUAGUAAGUUACAUUUUAGGAUGGAAUAAAUAUCAUACCGACAUCAGUUUGAAAGAAAAGGGAAAAAAAGAAAAAAUAAAUAAAAGAUAUACUACCGACAUGAGUUCCAAAAAGCAAAAAAAAAGAUCAAGCCGACACAGACACGCGUAGAGAGCAAAAUGACUUUGACGUCACACCACGAAAACAGACGCUUCAUACGUGUCCCUUUAUCUCUCUCAGUCUCUCUAUAAACUUAGUGAGACCCUCCUCUGUUUUACUCACAAAUAUGCAAACUAGAAAACAAUCAUCAGGAAUAAAGGGUUUGAUUACUUCUAUUGGAAAGAAAAAAAUCUUUGGAAAAUGGAUCAAACAGAGGAACCACCACUCAACACACACCAGCAGCACCCAGGUAGAUUCUAAUUUCAGAAACUUAUAUUUUUUUUAAGUGACAAUCCUCUGAAUUUACUUAAACUUAUUGUGAUUUAUGGAUACAGAAGAAGUUGAACAUCAUGAGAAUGGUGCGACUAAGAUGUUUAGGAAAGUAAAGGCUAGAGCUAAGAAGUUCAAGAACAGUCUCACUAAACAUGGACAAAGCAAUGAGCAUGAGCAAGAUCAUGAUUUGGUUGAAGAAGAUGAUGAUGAUGACGAGCUAGAACCUGAAGUGAUCGAUGCACCAGGUUACUUUCUUUUGUAGUUUCAUUCAACUUAUGAUCUAAAAACUAUUGGUUAUUCAAUUUUGCGUGACAUUAACGGUUUGGUAUCUGUAUAUGCAGGCGUAACAGGUAAACCUAGAGAAACUAAUGUUCCAGCAUCGGAGGAAAUUAUUCCACCAGGGACAAAGGUGUUUCCUGUCGUGUCUUCCGAUUACACCAAACCCACUGAAUCUGUACCAGUACAAGAGGCCUCUUACGGACACGAUGCACCGGCUCAUUCUGUAAGGACGACGUUUACAUCGGACAAGGAAGAGAAAAGAGAUGUACCGAUUCAUCAUCCUCUGUCCGAAUUGUCAGACAGAGAAGAGAGUAGAGAGACUCAUCAUGAGUCAUUGAACACUCCGGUCUCUCUGCUUUCUGGAACAGAGGAUGUAACGAGUACGUUUGCUCCAAGUGGUGAUGAUGAAUAUCUUGAUGGUCAACGGAAGGUCAACGUCGAGACCCCGAUAACGUUGGAGGAAGAGUCGGCUGUUUCAGACUAUCUUAGUGGUGUAUCUAAUUAUCAGUCCAAAGUUACUGAUCCCACCAAAGAAGGUAAGAACUUUGACCUUUUAAGAUUGUGUUUUUCUUUAGUGAUUAUGAAUAUGUAAUAACUCUGUUACGUUGUGUUUGGUUUAGAAACUGGAGGAGUACCGGAGAUUGCUGAGUCUUUUGGUAAUAUGGAAGUGACUGAUGAGUCUCCUGAUCAGAAGCCAGGACAAUUUGAAAGAGACUUGUCGACGAGAAGCAAAGAAUUCAAAGAGUUUGAUCAGGACUUUGACUCUGUUCUCGGUAAGGAUUCGCCGGCGAAAUUUCCAGGUGAAUCAGGAGUUGUUUUCCCGGUGGGCUUUGGUGACGAGUCAGGAGCUGAGCUGGAAAAAGAUUUUCCGACGAGAAGUCAUGAUUUUGAUAUGAAGACUGAAACUGGAAUGGACACGAAUUCUCCAUCAAGAAGCCAUGAAUUUGAUCUGAAGACUGAAUCUGGAAACGACAAGAAUUCUCCGAUGGGCUUUGGUAGUGAAUCAGGAGCUGAGCUGGAAAAAGAAUUUGAUCAGAAGAACGAUUCUGGAAGAAACGAGUAUUCGCCGGAAUCUGACGGCGGUUUAGGAGCUCCGUUGGGAGGAAAUUUUCCGGUGAGAAGUCAUGAGUUGGAUCUGAAGAACGAAUCUGAUAUCGACAAGGAUGUGCCGACGGGAUUUGACGGAGAACCAGAUUUUCUGGCGAAGGGAAGACCUGGAUACGGUGAGGCAUCAGAAGAGGAUAAAUUUCCGGCGAGAAGUGAUGAUGUGGAAGUAGAGACUGAGCUGGGAAGAGACCCAAAGACGGAGACUCUUGAUCAAUUCUCACCGGAACUUUCUCAUCCUAAAGAAAGAGAUGAGUUUAAGGAGUCCAGAGAUGAUUUUGAGGAGACGAGAGAUGAGAAAACAGAGGAGCCAAAACAGAGCACUUACACAGAGAAGUUUGCUUCAAUGCUAGGUUACUCCGGAGAAAUUCCGGUGGGAGAUCAAACUCAAGUGGCGGGAACUGUUGAUGAGAAGUUGACUCCGGUCAAUGAGAAGGAUCAAGAAACAGAGUCUGCCGUGACGACGAAGUUAC